rnacentral:lncRNA from 1 species
UAAAUCGGCACCAUAGAUCUAGGAUUCGAGCAACUCUGGUUAGAUUUGAAGAAAAUUGAUUUGGGAUUUGGAAAGAAGAAGGUGAGGAGACCCUAGGGUGUGAUUUUGGUGCGGUUUGAGGGCGGCACCGCCAUCGGAGAACAAAGGCGGCGGCUAGGGUUAAUAAAUUCAAACAAAGAUUUGAGGGGUUUGGGCCGGAUUUGAAGAAAAUUGAACUUGGAUUUGGAACGAGGACGAGGAGAAGAAGGUAUAGUGUAAAUUUGGGAGUCAUCGAAGUAGUUUGUGUUGUCGCCUCCGGCGGGUUUGACAGGGGAUAUUAGGGCGACUGGUUUCUCU